rnacentral:rRNA from 1 species
GACCGCGUAUGUAAGUACGUUUCUACCUCGGGUGACAGGGUGACAGGUGGUGCAUGGUUGUCGUCAGCUCGUGUCGUGAGAUGUUGGGUUAAGUCCGCAACGAGCGCAACCCUAUUGUUAGUUGCCACUCAUUCAGUUGGGCACUCUAGCGAGACUGCCGGUAAUAAACCGGAGGAAGGUGGGGAUGACGUCAAAUCAUCAUGCCCUUAUGACCUGGGCUACACACGUGCUACAAUGGUUGGUACAACGAGUUGCGAGUCGGUGACGGCGAGCUAAUCUCUUAAAGCCAAUCUCAGUUCGGAUUGUAGGCUGCAACUCGCCUACAUGAAGUCGGAAUCGCUAGUAAUCGCGGAUCAGCACGCCGCGGUGAAUACGUUCCCGGGCCUU